rnacentral:sRNA from 1 species
UUUUAGCCUUGGUCGAAUGGAUAAUCCUUUAUUGUUCACGGAAGGAUAAAAAAGAUUGAAAUGAUAGCCGAAAUAGCU